rnacentral:rRNA from 1 species
AUGGCUGCUUCAGCAAUAGGAGGAUGGGUGGCCUCAGCCUUCAUCACCAAGCUAGUUGAGAAGGUGUGCUCCUAUGCUGGGGACCAGUAUGAAUACCAACGGAAAGAUACAAAGGAGAAACUGAGAAUCCUAGAGAAGAAUCUAUCAUCGAUCCAAACAGCGAUACACAUAGCCGAGAGAGUGCAGGCAAAGAACACAGCCAUGGGAAGUUGGCUAAGGAGAAUCAAAGAUGCUGCCUGUCAAGCUGAGGAUGUUCUCGAUUUGUUUGACUAUCGAGUUCUCCAAGCACAAGCUGAAGACAGGGGCAUGAUUAGCUCAGUUGCUUCAGCUGCAGCUGGCUCGUCUUCUUCAUCCGCAAGCACCAUAACCACUGCCUCUACCACCACUAGCAGUAGCAGCGGCUCAACAGUAAAUCAGUCGGUUCGUCUUCUCAAACGCUUUCUAUUCUCUGAUGAAGAUAUAGAUGAGUUGAUUUCUGUAGUCGAUAAGUUUGUUGAGAUUGAUAGUGAGAUGCAAAGAUUUCUGGAUUUUGUCAAGAUAGAGGACAGCAAACCAGAACAGGCAGUUCAGUGGCGCACAACAAGCUCUAUGCCAAGCUCAGGGAAGUUUUUCGGUCGAGUUAAUGAAGAAAACCAUCUGAAGAAAUUACUUGUUCAGAUCAAUGAGCAAUCCAGUCAGCCAUAUGAUGUUAUAUCAAUUGUUGGUAUUGGUGGUGUUGGUAAGACAGCGCUAGUACAGAGAGUGUAUAACCACUUUCAUGACACACAUCACUUUGAUCUCACAGUAUGGCUCCAUGUCUCAGAUAAAUUUGAUGUUGUACGUCUAACAAAAGAGAUGGCAGAGUCAGAUAAUCUCAGCAGUAGUUUAGAUCAAGCUCAGAGGAUACUUCGGGAUAAGCUGAAUGGGAAAAAGGCUUUGAUAGUCCUUGACGAUGUAUGGAAUGUAUUGAGGAGCCAAUUGGAGAACCUGUUCAAACCCCUGAAGUUUGCUAGCAAGGGCAGCAAAGUAAUAGUUACAACUCGAAGCAAAAAUGUUGCAAGUAUGAAUGAAUCAACAGAGAUCAUGGAGUUACAUGGCUUAGAAGAUGAAGACUACUGGGAUUUCUUUUCACAAUGUGCAUUCGGUGAUGCAAAUCCUUCUGAUUUUCCAAAACUGAAAAAAAUUGGCCAAGAAGUGGUGAGCAAGUUGGCCGGAUCACCUUUAGCUGCAAUGACAGUUGGGAGUUCACUGAAACCGGUGCUAAAAGAAAAACAUUGGAGUUCUAUCUGUGGAAGAAAAUUGUGUCAAAUAGAGCAAAAGGAAGAUGAUAUUAUACCAGUAUUGCGACUGAGUUAUGAGCAUCUUCCUGACCAUUUGAAGCAAUGUUUUGUUUACUUUGCAUUGUUUCCUAAGAAAUACCACCUUCAAGGAGAUGAGCUAGUACAGAUGUGGAGAGCUCAUGGUUUCCUUAACACAGAUGCACCAGAUGAAAUUGCAUAUCGUUAUAUCAAUGACCUGUUGCAGCUUUCAUUCAUUGAGAAGGUACCCAGCCAAGAUGACCAUUAUGUAGUUCACGACUUGCUGCAUGAUUUUGCAGAGUCGGUCUCCAAUGGAGAACACUUCAGAAUAGAAGAUAAACUCCAGGUAUGCGUUCCAAGAAAUGUUCGCCACCUAUAUGUCAGUGCAAGCAGUAUAUCUGAGGUGUACUGGAUUUUGCAAGAAUUCACAGAAUUGAAGAAAAAUCUGAGAAGCUUAAUAAUUUGCAAGGCAGAAGAAGGUGCUUCCCAGAAAAGAAUACCCUCAUCAACCUUCAAUUAUGGUCUUGGUCAGACACUCCAAGAGCUAAGAAGCUUAAGGGUCUUAGUACUGCACAAUCCUGAUGGUAUUCUCCCAGACAAAAUUGAUCAUUUGAAACACCUUAGGUAUCUAAACAUUCAUGGAAGUAUGAGAUUUAUCAAUGUCCCCGAGUCAUUAUUCAAACUCUACCAUUUACAUGGAUUGAGUCUCCAAACUCAUCAAGACAGGAUCGUGGAAAAGGAACUCCAAGAGGGCUUAAGUAGGCUGACCCAGUUAAGAUACCUGAAGGCUCCGAAGAAAAUAAUUUCAGGCAUAGAAUGGAUUGGCAAGCUAAGAUCCCUCCAGGAACUAGAAGAGUACAAAGUGAAGAGUAACAUGAAGCGCAACAUAUGCCAACUGAGGGAGUUGAAUGAACUUCGAGGGACGCUAACCAUAACAAAUCUUCAGAAUGUAAGAUGCAGCAAAGAAGCAAAUGAGGCAAGAUUAUUUGAUAAGAAGAACCUGAACAAGCUAGCACUCUCGUGGAAUCAUCUCAAACAGAGCACCAACAGUGACCAUGAAGGCGUGUUUGAAGGGUUACAACCAAAUGCCAACUUGAGAGCACUUUGUGUCAGAGGUUACAUGGGAAUCAAGUCUCCUUCUUGGCUAUCCUUUGAAUACGCAUCCAACAUUCACUCCAUUGAAUUGCUCUGCUGCCAUCACUGGAAGACCCUUCCACCAUUUGGGAGUUUACCCUUCCUGCAGAAAUUAAGGAUAAUGCGUUUGACAAAACUGGAAAAGAUUGAUUCUGGAUUCUACGGCAAUGCGGCAGAGGCAUUUCCAUCACUAGAAGAGCUUCUAUUUGAAGGCAUGACUCAGUGGAAAGGAUGGUCAGGCGUUGAGAACAACCAAAAUGUGUUUCCUCGCCUGCGUGACAUCCGUAUUCAGAAAUGUAACAAGUUGAUGGGGCCUUUGCCGUUCCCACCAUCAUUCAAUAAAAUCAAAAUUUCAGUAUGUGACUCAGCCUCUGAGAAGGUAAUCAGUCAUGAACCUGAAGAUACAGCUGAUGCCAGCAUGCCCCUCGGUGUUCAGCUCUCCCUGGACCGCUUGGAACUUCUCUUUACCUCUCUGCAAACAAGCAGCCUAGCCACCGUUCAUAUGCUGGAUAUCUCAUCCGACUGCUUGGAAGCUUUUAACAGUGAUCAGGAGGAAUGGCUGCAACAACUCACCUCAGUGAAGGAAAUUCGCUUCACUGGCUGUCUAAAAUUGACAUCACUGCCAUCCAACAUGAUUGAUCUCACAUCCCUUGAGUCUCUGUGCAUAGAGAAAUGUCCGAAACUUGAGUUGCUUCCCCAGACAGGCUUACCUAUUUCCCUGAAGAAACUCAAUGUCAUAAGAUGCAGCAAAACAUUUAGUCAGCUCUGCUCUGAGAUCAACAUAAGCAGCACCAACACGAUACAUCAGGUUAUCGUGAGGGAACCUAUUGUUGGCAAUGCAAUAAAAAGAAGAAGGACAUCAUCACAAUAG